AUUGAACGCUGGCGGCAUGCCUUACACAUGCAAGUCGAACGGCAGCACGGGUGCUUGCACCUGGUGGCGAGUGGCGAACGGGUGAGUAAUAUAUCGGAACGUACCUUAUUGUGGGGGAUAACGCAGCGAAAGCUGUGCUAAUACCGCAUAAUCCCUAAGGGGGAAAGCGGGGGACCGUAAGGCCUCGCGCAAUUAGAGCGGCCGAUACCUGAUUAGCUAGUUGGUGAGGUAAAGGCUCACCAAGGCAACGAUCAGUAGCUGGUCUGAGAGGACGAUCAGCCACACUGGGACUGAGACACGGCCCAGACUCCUACGGGAGGCAGCAGUGGGGAAUUUUGGACAAUGGGGGCAACCCUGAGCCAGCAAUGCCGCGUGAGUGAAGAAGGCCUUUGGGUUGUAAAGCUCUUUUGUCAGGGAAGAAACAGCAGCUCUAACACAGUUUGCGAAUGACGGUACCUGAAGAAUAAGCACCGGCUAACUACGUGCCAGCAGCCGCCGUAA
rnacentral:rRNA from 1 species